GACUACUGGGGUAUCUAAUCCUGUUUGCUACCCACGCUUUCGCACCUCAGCGUCAGGGUCAGUCCAGAAAGCCGCCUUCGCCACUGGUAUUCCUCCUGAUUUCUACGCAUUUCACCGCUACACCAGGAAUUCCACUUUCCUCUCCUGCCCUCAAGAUAUCCAGUUUCAGAUGCAACCCCGAGGUUGGGCCCCGGUCUUUCACAUCUGACUUAAUUACCCGCCUACGUGCUCUUUACGCCCAGUAAUUCCGGACAACGCUCGCCCCCUACGUCUUACCGCGGCUGCUGGCACGUAGUUAGCCGGGGCUUGCUGGUAAGGUACCGUCACUUUAUCUGACUAUUGGCCAGAUAAACAUUCGUCCCUUACAACAGAGCUUUACGACCCUAAGGCCUUCAUCGCUCACGCGGCGUCGCUGCGUCAGGGUUUCCCCCAUUGCGCAAUAUUCCCCACUGCAGCCCCCCGUAGG
rnacentral:rRNA from 1 species